AUUGAUUAGCUUAAAAUUCUUAAAAUUGAAUAGCUUAUGUUUCACUGUUUCAGUCUCAUAUGUCGAGAUAUAAUAAAAAAUAAAAGCACCAAGAAUGUUGAUCCUACACCUUUUGUUGGAGGUAUGGCUAUGUCCAUACUUAUGAUCAAAAAUGGAUUACUUAUGAAUGAUCCUAAUAUUAUACCAGUUAACAUUUUUGGAUUUAUAUUAAACUUGAUUUAUUUUUUAGUGUUUUAUUUUUUUUACUGCUGAUUCGAAACCAUUAUUUUCAAUGUUAACUAAAGCUACAUUAUUCACUGGUGUACUAUGGGG